rnacentral:rRNA from 1 species
UACGGGGGGGGCAAGCGUUGUUCGGAAUUAUUGGGCGUAAAGGGCUCGUAGGCGGCCAACUAAGUCAGACGUGAAAUCCCUCGGCUUAACCGGGGAACUGCGUCUGAUACUGGAUGGCUUGAGGUUGGGAGAGGGAUGCGGAAUUCCAGGUGUAGCGGUGAAAUGCGUAGAUAUCUGGAGGAACACCGGUGGCGAAGGCGGCAUCCUGGACCAAUUCUGACGCUGAGGAGCGAAAGCCAGGGGAGCAAACGGG